GGGAUAUUGCACAAUGGGGGAAACCCUGAUGCAGCGACGCCGCGUGGGCGAAGAAGUAUUUCGGUAUGUAAAGCCCUAUCAGCAGGGAAGAAGAAAUGACGGUACCUGACUAAGAAGCUCCGGCUAAAUACGUGCCAGCAGCCGCGGUAAUACGUAUGGAGCAAGCGUUAUCCGGAAUUACUGGGUGUAAAGGGAGCGUAGACGGAUGUGCAAGUCUGAUGUGAAAGGCGGGGACUCAACCCCUGGACUGCAUUGGAAACUGUAAAUCUUGAGUGCCGGAGAGGUAAGCGGAAUUCCUAGUGUAGCGGUGAAAUGCGUAGAUAUUAGGAGGAACACCAGUGGCGAAGGCGGCUUACUGGACGGUAACUGACGUUGAGGCUCGAAAGCGUGGGGAGCAAACAG
rnacentral:rRNA from 1 species